UUUGGCCGCCACCCUCCCCCCAUCUUCCCUCUUCUCUCUUCCCCAAGUUCUGCAUCCGCCCCCCCUCCAUUCUCAAGUUUCUUGCAGCAGCCAUCUCCUCAACCCUAGCCGCCACCCCCCCCAUCUCCUCUUCUCCAAGUGUCGUUCUUCCUCGUCGGAUCUUCUUCGUGUGGGUGCAAUUUUCAAUUGGAGAAUUGGUGGGAGGAAGGAAGGAGGAAAAAGGUGUAACUCAAGGCACUUGAUCCUUGCUUUUGGGAAAGGAGGGAAGUAGCAGCACGGCCGCUACACAUUUAAAUAAAUGUAUCACUGCUUAGUAAUGAUGUUAAAUAGGGGUUCAAGUCUAGGGGAUUAAUAUGUUCUAGUCUUCAUGAUAGUCGAAUUUGCUUUUGGGUUGGCCGGAUUCCCUCUCUUUUUAUUUGGUCAUGAUUAUUCAUUACUAUCUCUACAUUCUGUUUAAACUACGUGGAUUAUCUUUCUUUUAUAUUAUGUAUAAACUUUAUGUUCCUCUCGUUAUGCUACUUUCAGGGAAGGUGCUGCUGGAUUUUGCUUUACUGUUUGUCUCUAUUUCUUUUCUUAUGUUGUUUAAGUUUUGUGGGAAGGGUAUUUGGUAACAUUCAUUGUGUGGGAGCAAUGGGGUAUUAUAGUUGGUAUCAAAGGAAUAGGUUGUAGGUCCUGGCAAGUGGAAUAAUAAUAAAUUGACACACUGCACAUAUAGGAUGGGUUUCCUGCUUUACUAUUGAUAUGUUAUGUUAUUGUCUGUGCUGGUUUGACAUUAUCUGAUGAGGUGCUAUGCCAAUCUUAUUUACUUAUUAUUUUCACCCCUGUGGUUGUAGCUAUGCCGCCUCGUAGGGCUCGUGGCAGUCCGCAAGUUCCUAGUGGGGACUCGAUGAGUCCGGCGGCAAUGUUAGCCGCGAUGUAGGCCAUGCAGCAGGACUUGGCCAUUCUGAGGCAAGCUAUUCAUGUGGCCCCUGCGGAUGCUGCUCAGGGUGCUGGUGGUGGAGGAGUGCCUGGGGGUGCUGUCCCUGCGGGUGCUGCUCCAGGUGGCGGGCCUGAGGUGCCUCUUCCCGUCAGUGUUCUUUCUUUGAUGCAGUGGAUGGGCACGAAGUUGGACACUUUUGAUGGCAGUGGUACUCCGGUCGAGGCGGCGGAUUGGCUAACUUACAUGGAGGAUAAGAUGAAUGUCUUUGAGAUUGUGUAUGGAGAUCGUGUUCGCUUUGGCACACAGCUGCUGAAGGGAGAUGCUCAGAUUUGGUGGAGAGGCGUGCAGGCAGCUCACUCCUCUUCACCAGGAGUCCUGUCCUAGGAUGUUUUCAUCAGGCAGUUUGAGAGGAGGUUCUGCCCGGUCACCUUCCUGGAGAAAAUGAAGAUUGAUUUGCAGUCCUACAAGCAAGAGAAGAAGUUUGUCACAGAGUAUGAAGUGGGCUUAACAAGAUGGUCCGCUUUAUUCCUCAUGUGGCUUACAAUGAGAUGGAGAAGGCGAGCCAGUUCUGUCAGGGCCUGAAACCUUCUAUCAGGCAUGCCCUAGGAGCCUUUCUGUUGGUGGAUUUCCGUACUAUAGUGGAGCAGUCAUUAGGUGUGGAGAUGCAACACCAGUACACCAUGGAGUCACAGAAGUCUUCGGGUGUUGAUCAGCCUCGUGGCCAGAACGCGAGGAGGGGCAACACUGGGGGUCCAGCCCACAAGAGGGGCAAGCCUCAGCACCAGCGCCACCACCCCUACCAUGGCAAAUCCUCUGAAUCAGGUACUUCGAGAGGAAGUACUCAGAGGUAUCGGGUUGUUCCUAAGCCCGGGCUGGGGCUGGUGUGUUUCCGUUGUGGUGAUGCGCAUCGUCGUGCUGAGUGUCAAUGGAGUGGAAGGUGUUCUAUCUGCAGUCAGGACCACAAGGAUGUGGUGUGUAGGAGGAAUCCCAAUGGGAAGCUCAGAUGGGAGCCAGUGACUUCCUCCUCUUCGCAGGGCACUGUCAACAUGAUGUCAAGCGCAGAGCAGCAAUUUUCAGUUCCACUCCCUCCGCAGCAGUUCUAUGUUCCUGGGCCUUCUCAGUUCGUGCCAAUGCAGGGUUUUCCUUAGUAUCUGGCUACGCCUACUCCUACACCGACUACUCCCAUGCCGUCUCAGUUUGGAGCUCCGCGUCUACCUCACCCGACGACUCAGUGGGGUUCUUUUGUUAACUUCACCCUGGGAGCUUCCUCUUCUGUGGGUAUUUCCGGAGCUUAUGUGCUACCCUCUGCAGAUGGCAGAGAGCAAGGAGACAUGGUGACAGAUGGUGGACUUCAGGAUCGCACUUAGGGCUUUGUCCAAGUUUCCCG